AUUGAACGCUGGCGGCAUGCCUUACACAUGCAAGUCGAACGGUAACGCGGGGCAACCUGGCGACGAGUGGCGAACGGGUGAGUAAAGCAUCGGAACGUGCCCAGUAGUGGGGAUAGCCCGGCGAAAGCCGGAUUAAUACCGCAUACGACCCAUGGGUGAAAGGGGGGGAUCGCAAGACCUCCCGCUAUUGGAGCGGCCGAUGUCAGAUUAGGUAGUUGGUGGGGUAAAGGCCUACCAAGCCGACGAUCUGUAGCUGGUCUGAGAGGAAGACCAGGCACACUGGGACUGAGACACGGCCCAGACUCCUACGGGAGGCAGCAGUGGGGAAUUUUGGACAAUGGGCGCAAGCCUGAUCCAGCCAUGCCGCGUGCGGGAAGAAGGCCUUCGGGUUGUAAACCGCUUUUGUCAGGGAAGAAAUCCUUUGGGUUAAUACCUCGGGGGGAUGACGGUACCUGAAGAAUAAGCACCGGCUAACUACGUGCCAGCCGCCGCAGUAA
rnacentral:rRNA from 1 species